GAUGAACGCUGGCGGCGUGCUUAACACAUGCAAGUCGAACGGAAAGGCCCAAGCUUGCUUGGGUACUCGAGUGGCGAACGGGUGAGUAACACGUGGGUGAUCUGCCCUGCACUUCGGGAUAAGCCUGGGAAACUGGGUCUAAUACUGGAUAGGACCACUUCUUGGAUGGUGUGGUGGAAAGUUAUUUCGGUGUGGGAUGAGCUCGCGGCCUAUCAGCUUGUUGGUGGGGUAAUGGCCUACCAAGGCGUCGACGGGUAGCCGGCCUGAGAGGGUGUACGGCCACAUUGGGACUGAGAUACGGCCCAGACUCCUACGGGAGGCAGCAGUGGGGAAUAUUGCACAAUGGGCGCAAGCCUGAUGCAGCGACGCCGCGUGGGGGAUGACGGCCUUCGGGUUGUAAACUCCUUUCGCUAGGGACGAAGCGUUUUUGUGACGGUACCUGGAGAAGAAGCACCGGCUAACUACGUG
rnacentral:rRNA from 1 species